rnacentral:misc_RNA from 1 species
CUGUGAGAAGUGUGUCAUUCCAAAGGAGAACAACUUCAAGCAGCCUGGGGAGAGAUACCGUUCCUUUUCAUCCGACAGGAAAGAGCGAUUUAUUCGACGUUGGGUUGAGGCCAUGUCUGACCCAAGGGUUACCUAUGAAAUCCGCAGUAUUUGGAUCUCAUACUGGUAUCAGGCUGACAAGUCUCUGGGACAGAAGAUUGCUUCUCAUCUCAACAUGAGGCCAACCAUGUGAUGAGCAGAAACAUUGUCUCAAAUAUUCAACCAUACAGUGACA